UUCACGACUUCACGCGUCACCCUAAAAUCUAAUCCCUAAUUUCCAAGGUCUCCAGCAGCCGCCUCUUCAUUUUUCUCUCAAGCCGCAUCUCGCAAUCUUCUCGGAUUCUCUGAAUCUUCGAUACUUUUCUCUAAAACAAGGUUCGAUCCACAACCCUAAUUUUAAUUUCUUUACUCGACUAGUUAAGAUGAAUAUGGUAUAUAAUUACACGAGGCUUUAAUUUACAGAUCUAUAAGGCUUUGACUUGCAUAUCUACACUUUGAUUCUUAAAGGAUUACUGAUUAGGGUUUAUGUCAAGUGUCAAUGGAACAAGGCACCAGGCACCAGCAUGUGAAACUCUGGCAAUUUGCAAGCUCAUUUUGUGUAGCAAGAGGUUUUCAAAUUAUGGCAGGAUGGCAUUCUCUAAAUUAUAAGUUUGAAGUGGUA